rnacentral:rRNA from 1 species
UACGUAGGGAGCAAGCGUUGUCCGGAAUCAUUGGGCGUAAAGAGCGCGUAGGCGGCUGUAUAAGUCCGUUGUGAAAGUCAAAGGCUCAACCUUUGAAAGCCGAUGGAUACUGUAGAGCUAGAGUACGGAAGAGGCGAGUGGAAUUCCUGGUGUAGCGGUGGAAUGCGCAGAUAUCAGGAGGAACACCAAUAGCGAAGGCAGCUCGCUGGGACGUUACUGACGCUGAGGCGCGAAAGCGUGGGGAGCGAACAGG